UGGCGGACGGGUGAGUAACGCGUGGGCAACCUACCCCACACAGGGGGACAACAGUUGGAAACGACUGCUAAUACCGCAUAGGCGCACAGCUUCGCAUGAAGCAGUGUGGAAAACCGAGGUGGUGUGGGAUGGGCCCGCGUCUGAUUAGCUGGUUGGCGGGGUAACGGCCCACCAAGGCGACGAUCAGUAGCCGGCCAGAGAGGGUGGACGGCCACAUUGGGACUGAGACACGGCCCAAACUCCUACGGGAGGCAGCAG
rnacentral:rRNA from 1 species